rnacentral:rRNA from 1 species
CGGGUGAGUAAUGCAUCGGAACGUGUCCAUGUCGUGGGGGAUAGCCCGGCGAAAGCCGGAUUAAUACCGCAUACGACCUGAGGGUGAAAGUGGGGGAUCGCAAGACCUCACGCGAAUGGAGCGGCCGAUGUCCGAUUAGCUAGUUGGUGGGGUAAAGGCCUACCAAGGCGACGAUCGGUAGCUGGUCUGAGAGGACGAUCAGCCACACUGGGAUUGAGAACGGCCCAG